UACAGAGGGGGCAAGCGUUGUUCGGAAUUACUGGGCGUAAAGGGCGCGUAGGCGGCCUUCUAAGUCGAACGUGAAAUCCCCGGGCUCAACCCGGGAACUGCGUCCGAUACUGGAAGGCUUGAAUCCGGGAGAGGGAUGCGGAAUUCCAGGUGUAGCGGUGAAAUGCGUAGAUAUCUGGAGGAACACCGGUGGCGAAGGCGGCAUCCUGGACCGGCAUUGAUGCUGAGGCGCGAAAGCCAGGGGAGCAAACGGG
rnacentral:rRNA from 1 species